CUAUACAAGUAUCCUCAAAAGUAACAGCAGAGCUAAGCCAUGACCUAACAUCAUAAACAUACUCCUUGAUCAAUUUAUUAAGGCUGAUGUUGUUCUAAAGGGCCGUCGUGCCUCAAUCUUUGGAGUUCUAUCAGGCAUUGCCUCCUCUGCUUUUGUCUGUGGAAAUCUCACUACUCGUUUUCUCUCCCCGGCUUCCACUUUCCAAGUUGCUGCAACAGUGGCAAUAAUAGCUCUUGUAUAACAGAUCAAAUUUCCGUUAUAGGAACAGAGGCAGUUUGUCUUUUGGAAAAAGCUCCAAAGAAUAAAUUCCAAUUAUUCAAGGAAUUGCCUUCU